AGAGUUUGAUCAUGGCUCAGAUUGAACGCUGGCGGAAUGCUUUACACAUGCAAGUCGAACGGCAGCACGGGGGCAACCCUGGUGGCGAGUGGCGAACGGGUGAGUAAUACAUCGGAACGUGCCCAGUCGUGGGGGAUAACGUAGCGAAAGUUACGCUAAUACCGCAUACGAUCUACGGAUGAAAGCGGGGGACCGUAAGGCCUCGCGCGAUUGGAGCGGCCGAUGUCAGAUUAGGUAGUUGGUGAGGUAAAGGCUCACCAAGCCGACGAUCUGUAGCUGGUCUGAGAGGACGACCAGCCACACUGGGACUGAGACACGGCCCAGACUCCUACGGGAGGCAGCAGUGGGGAAUUUUGGACAAUGGGCGCAAGCCUGAUCCAGCCAUUCCGCGUGCAGGACGAAGGCCUUCGGGUUGUAAACUGCUUUUGUACGGAACGAAAAGGCUCUGGUUAAUACCCGGGGCUCAUGACGGUACCGUAAGAAUAAGCACCGGCUAACUACGUGCCAGCAGCCGCGGUAAUACGUAGGGUGCAAGCGUUAAUCGGAAUUACUGGGCGUAAAGCGUGCGCAGGCGGUGAUGUAAGACAGAUGUGAAAUCCCCGGGCUCAACCUGGGAACUGCAUUUGUGACUGCAUCGCUGGAGUGCGGCAGAGGGGGAUGGAAUUCCGCGUGUAGCAGUGAAAUGCGUAGAUAUGCGGAGGAACACCGAUGGCGAAGGCAAUCCCCUGGGCCUGCACUGACGCUCAUGCACGAAAGCGUGGGGAG
rnacentral:rRNA from 1 species